UCGGGAAUUUUGGGCAAUGGGCGAAAGUCUGACGCAGCGACACCGCGUGUGGGAAGAAGCAUCUAGGUGUGUAAACCACUGUGGCAGGGGACGAAUUUUGACGGUACCCUGCUAGAAAGCACCUGCUAACUACGUGCCAGAAGCCUCGGUAAUACGUAGGGUGCAAGCGUUAUCCGGAUUUACUGGGCGUAAAGCGUCUGUAGGUGGAUUAGUAAGUGUUGGGUUAAAUACUGGGGCUCAACCCCAGACCUGCUCAGCAUACUGCUAGUCUCGAGUGUAUUCGGGGAGGUUGGAAUUCUCGGUGGAGGGGUGAAAUCCGUUGAUAUCGAGAGGAACGCCAAGGGUGAAGACAGACCUCUAGGGUACUACUGACACUGAGAGACGAAAGCUAGGGUAGCAAACCGGAUUAGAUACCCAAGUAGUCCCUGAGCGGGCUGGCAAGGCGCAU
rnacentral:rRNA from 1 species